UGUCUGUCUCUCUCUCUCUCUCUUAUAUAUAUAUAUAUAUAUAGAUAUAUAUUUAUUCACACACGCAUUCUUAUAUAUUAUUCAAGCAUGCUAACUGUGUGUAUUCUUCCCUUUUUCUCUCUCCCUUUCUCUCCUUUCCUCUUCCUUCCCCUCUCACAAUAUCUCCCGCGUAUUAUUCUAAAUGGCGCUUUGUAUUUUAAAAUUUUCUUCUUUAUCCUUAUUAGCCCAUAUCUUCACCAAAUACACGAUAAACUCCAAUCCUUUGAUCUUGCGCCGAUAAAUUAUCAAUCAAUUUAACAGUUCAAUAAUUCAGUAUUUCUUCUAAUGAAUAAAGUGAUUUUUGUUUCUUUGUGUAUAUAUAUAUACUUAUAUAUAAUAUAU